AGUGAACGCUGGCGGUAGGCCUAACACAUGCAAGUCGAACGGCAGCACAGUAGAGCUUGCUCUUACGGGUGGCGAGUGGCGGACGGGUGAGGAAUACAUCGGAAUCUACUUUUUCGUGGGGGAUAACGUAGGGAAACUUACGCUAAUACCGCAUACGACCUACGGGUGAAAGCAGGGGAUCUUCGGACCUUGCGCGAUUGAAUGAGCCGAUGUCGGAUUAGCUAGUUGGCGGGGUAAAGGCCCACCAAGGCGACGAUCCGUAGCUGGUCUGAGAGGAUGAUCAGCCACACUGGAACUGAGACACGGUCCAGACUCCUACGGGAGGCAGCAGUGGGGAAUAUUGGACAAUGGGCGCAAGCCUGAUCCAGCCAUACCGCGUGGGUGAAGAAGGCCUUCGGGUUGUAAAGCCCUUUUGUUGGGGAAGAAAAGCAGCAGGUUAAUACCCCGCUGUUCUGACGGUACCCAAAGAAUAAGCACCGGCUAACUUCGUG
rnacentral:rRNA from 1 species